rnacentral:tRNA from 1 species
GCGGGUGUAGUUUAAUGGUAGAACAUGAGCUUCCCAAGCUCAGAGCGCGAGUUCGAUUCUCGUCACCCGCUCCG